UUUCCGUAGGUGAACCUGCGGAAGGAUCAUUAUUGAAUAAACCUGAUGUGACUGUUAGCUGGCUUUUCGAAGCAUGUGCUCGUCCGUCAUCUUUAAUCUCUCCACCUGUGCACAUUUUGUAGUCUUGGAUACCUCUCGAGGCAACUCGGAUUUUAGGAUUGCCGUGCUGCACAAGUCGGCUUUCCUUUCAUUUCCAAGACUAUGUUUUUAUAUACACCAAAGUAUGUUUAAAGAAUGUCAUCAAUAGGAACUUGUUUCCUAUAAAAUUAUACAACUUUCAGCAACGGAUCUCUUGGCUCUC
rnacentral:misc_RNA from 1 species